UACACUUGUCCUUCUCUUAUUAGAACUACUCUUACAAAGACCAAACCUGAAAAAAAAUAAAAUAGGAGAAGCCUUAUAACUUGAAAAUUACAAAUUCUAAAACCCUUUCUCAAAGAGAGAAAGAAGUCUCCCUCUCCUUAUCAUCACCCAUUUCAUCAGAAUACCCAAAUCACAUUUCAAAAGAAAAAGAAAAGGGUUUUGGAGCUUUUUCUCUCUAUGUUUUCUUCUUUUUUUUCAGUCCAAUAUUAAUAGAUGACGGAGUUUUGAACUUGAAAAUGCUAUCGGUCGUAAAAUGUAAUUUUUCGACUACUAAAAUAUCCAUGAGAAGAAGAAUAUUACGAUGGAAAUUUCGUCCACGAAUAGAUUUUCCGAUGGCUCCAACAAAUGUUGACUUCAACCUAUGCUCAGCUGCAAGUCUUUUACAGAUUAUGCUGCGAUACAAGUGCUUAGUUUGGAUAUAUUUGGAUUGCUCAAGAUGGUCACUAAUCCUUUUGGCUCGGACCAUUUUGGUUGAAAGUGGAGGACAUGAGAGCAGCUGAUUCCCAGCCAGUAGCAAGGCCAAGUGCUGAGGCAUUAAUUGAAACCAAAGGAUCAGAACUAGGAACAAUCCCGUAAAUGGCCUGCUGCUGUUGUUGCAUCUGAUGUUGUUGACUAGUGAAAGCUUCUUCAUUGAUGAGUGAAUCAAUAAAUGAAGAAAAGACAUCAUCAGUGCAAUAAUCAUUGUUACAGUAAUUGAUAUCUUCAUCAGCUUCUUCAUUGCUAAGCCCUUGAAUGUUGCUUCCCAAAUGCAUUCUAGAACCUUCAUCAAUACUUCUCAAUAAGCUUGUAAAUCCAUGGCUAGCAUAAUAAGCAUUAUCAUUGGCACAAGUAGUAGUAGUAGUAGCAGUAGUGUGAUAUUGAUCAAAGGAAGUGUUUCCAUAGUAUAGAUUUUCUUUGUUGCUGAUGAUCAUUUGACCACUUGCACUUGUAGUUUCUUCCAGAGCAGAAGAAGAGGAGGCAGGAUUAUUAUUACUUUUACGCUUAGGGCUUGAUGAUUUGCGAACAAUAGUAGUACAUGGUUUUGAUGAAGAAGCUUUGUGCUGAUCAACAGAUUGAAGGCUGAGUGCCUUGUGCGUUCUUGGAUCAAUUCCUUGGCUUAUCAGCUUCUUGCUAAGGUGAGUGUUCCAGUAAUUCUUGAUCUCAUUGUCUGUACGCCCUGGAAUUCUCCCAGCUAUCAGUGACCACCUAAACCACAAUCCAGACAAGAUCUGAGUGGAAGUUUAAUAUCAAUAUAUAGUUCAAAUAUAAUGUGUUUAAUGAGUACAAGGAUCUGAAGAAUAUUAGAACAUCCAAUUGCUGACAAGAAAGAGAAAAAGAAAGAGGGGAGCGAAACUCGGUCUUUUCCGAUGACAAAAUGCAAAAGUGAAACCCUAGAACUAGAAAAGAGAAGAGACGCAGCAGGAAGCAAACCCUAAAAACCCAAAGGAUAAACAAAGAAUCUGAACAAAACCCAGACAGUAAGAAGAGUAAAACAUGAUCGAAAUGGAGUGAGAUUAUCGAUUUUGUUAAUCAACCUGUUGCCCAGAAGGCGAUGAAGGCGAAGAAUGAGAUCUUCUUCAUCAGGAGCGAUCUGACCACGUUUGACACAAGGACGAAGGUAAUUCAUCCAACGAAGACGACAGCUUUUGCCACAACGAAGAAGCCCAGCUUUUUUAGGUAAGGUACGCCAUCUUCCUUCGCCUUCUUUGUUUAUAUAGUUUGCUAGGAGUUCAUCUUCUUCUGGUGUCCAUGGUCCUCUCUUCAGCCCUACUUUACUGCAACAUGCCGUAAUCUUUGCUGAUGUUCCUGCUGCUGUUUUUGAAGCUGACGGGUUUCUCAUAUUCUUCUUGUUCUUCACUUCUUCUUUUCGUUUUUUCUUUUUGCUUUUUUUGGGUACUGUUUCUCUCUUGUCUGAAGAGAUCUAAAGUUUGUGUAUUUGUUUUUUAAAUGUUUGAUCUCUUAUUCGUUAAGUAUACAAGAAAGUGAGAGUACAUGUGUAGGCUUUGAUAAGGAUGACUUGGAUUGGUUUUUAUUUAUUUAUUUAUUAUUUUUUGUGGGGGGGAAGAUUUAUGGAUGAUGGAGCAAGUACCGAUUAUGGUAAAAAUAUAUUAUUAUAUUCUUUUAAUCUUUCAAUUUUAUUUUAUUUAAAUUUUUAUUUUAUUCUUUAUAAUUCUCAAAGUUGAUAUUUUUUACUUGAAUUAAAAUAUUUUAUAAAUUUUUAUUUAUUUAAUUGACUUUUAUAUUUUUUUAAUCUUAAUAAAAAUUAUUUAAUCUUAAUAAAAGUAAAAAAUAAAAACAAAAUAAACAUCAGAAAGCAUAAUAACAUAAGAUUGAAAAGUUAAAAGAAUCUAAAAAUUUACUUUUCCACUAAUUUAUUUUCAUAUUUAUAAUUUACAAAAGUAAUUAUUUUAAAAAUGAUUGUUUUUGUAUUCGUAGGUGUUCCUGAAAAUGAAGGAUGAGACGCGAGAGGCUGCAGGCAAUAGCAGCAGCAGCAGAAAAGAUUAAAAAAAGAAAAAAAAAAAAAA